rnacentral:rRNA from 1 species
AGAGUUUGAUCCUGGCUCAGGAUGAACGCUGGCGGCGUGCCUAACACAUGCAAGUCGAACGAAGAUGCAUUUCAGAUCCCUUCGGGGUGACGAGGUGCAGACUUAGUGGCGGACGGGUGAGUAAUGUAUGAGCAACCUGCCUUCAAGAGGGGAAUAACAGUCGGAAACGACUGCUAAUACCGCAUAACAAAGCGUAGUCGCAUGACAAUGCUUUCAAAGGAGCAAUCCGCUUGAAGAUGGGCUCAUAUCUGAUUAGAUAGUUGGUGAGGUAACGGCUCACCAAGUCUGCGAUCAGUAGCCGGACUGAGAGGUUGAACGGCCACAUUGGAACUGAGAUACGGUCCAGACUCCUACGGGAGGCAGCAGUGGGGAAUAUUGGGCAAUGGGCGAAAGCCUGACCCAGCAACGCCGCGUGAAGGAAGAAGGUCUUCGGAUUGUAAACUUUUGUCUUAUGGGACGAUAAUGACGGUACCAUAGGAGGAAGCCACGACUAACUACGUGCCAGCAGUCGCGGUAAUACGUAGGUGGCGAGCGUUAUCCGGAAUUAUUGGGUGUAAAGGGUGCGUAGGCGGGUCGUAAAGUCAGAUGUGAAAUGCGGAGGCUCAACCUCCGAACUGCAUUUGAAACUUACGAUCUUGAGUGGAGUAGAGGCAAGCGGAAUUCCCGGUGUAGCGGUGAAAUGCAUAGAUAUCGGGAGGAACACCAGUGGCGAAGGCGGCUUGCUGGGCUUUUACUGACGCUGAGGCACGAAAGUGUGGGGAGCAAACAGGAUUAGAUACCCUGGUAGUCCACACCGUAAACGAUGAUUACUAGGUGUAGGCCGGCUGAACCGGUCUGUGCCGCAGUUAACACAAUAAGUAAUCCACCUGGGGAGUACGGCCGCAAGGUUGAAACUCAAAGGAAUUGACGGGGGCCCGCAC